UACGAAGGGGGCGAGCGUUGUUCGGAUUUACUGGGCGUAAAGGGCGCGCAGGCGGCAGACCAAGUCAGGCGUGAAAGCCCCGGGCUUAACCUGGGAGGUGCGUCUGGGACUGGUAUGCUAGAGUUCGGGAGAGGAGAGUGGAAUUCCCAGUGUAGAGGUGAAAUUCGUAGAUAUUGGGAAGAACACCGGUGGCGAAGGCGGCGCUCUGGACCGAGACUGACGCUGAGGCGCGAAAGCGUGGGGAGCAAACAGG
rnacentral:rRNA from 1 species